GGAAUAUAAGAAUCCGUUUUUUAACUUUUAACUAAAAAAACUAAGAACCGGCUCUUAAAUAUCUUAUUUAAGAGCAAGUUCUUAGUUUUUUUAGUUAAAAGUUAAGAGACAUGUUUUUAUAUUUC
rfam:Brassica oleracea var. oleracea cultivar TO1000 chromosome C7, whole genome shotgun sequence